UCAAAACGGCCUACGUACCUAUUUUCCCUAAUAAUUGUCUACUUUAAUAGUUUUUAUAUUUUUAAUUUGUUGUUUCUUAAUUUGUGUGUUGCAUAGGUACCUCAAUACAAGGAUGUGAUUAUACUCAAGUACUGGCUUAAAGAAAUGUAAAGUUGGAAAAAAAAUAUUGUCAACUUCAAAUCUUCUAAUCGAUAUCCUACAGCUGUUUCUGUUAUUUUUUGCAAAAUAACAAUGCUUUCUAACUCGGAGUUUACGAUAUGAUGCGUAGGCCAUGAAUAUCGCAAUUUAAAUAGUGCUCGCGAAAUGUAUUGGCAACGAUUUAACGUUUUUACAAACAGAAUUCGAAGAGGCGAUUGAUGACUUUCCUGUGGCUGGCUGGGAUUACUUUGAGGACCAAAAGAAACAUGGUGUUUCAGCAUGAUGGAGCUCCGGCACAUUUUGCUCGCAACGUACGAGAACAUCUUAACGUUUGCUUUCCGCGAGAAUGGAUCGGCCGCGGGGGACCGGUGCUAUGGCCUGCUCGUUCUCCGGGCCUCACACCCUUGGACUUCUUUUUGUGGGAUUAUGUGAAGGAUAGAGCGUCUUUCUUCGGUUGCCCAACGGUUGCCGAGAUGAAACAGCGUGUUAGAUCGGUUUUCGCAUCAAUAACACCGACGAUGGUGCGAAAUGCCACACAAGCCCUAUCCCGACGAGCGACGUUGUGUAUUGCGGAAGGCGGAGCACACUUUAAGCCGUUUCUGUAAAUUAUUAUGAAAAACCCACAGACGUCCACUGCCGGACAUAGGCCUCCCCCAAGCCUCGCCACAAAGACCGUAUCUGCGCUGCCUGCAUCCAGCGGAUCCCCGCGAACCUCGAAUGGGUCGUCGGUUCAUCUUGUGGGAGGCCUACCCACGCUAACUCUUCAAGUACACACACGGUCGCCACCCAAGAACUUUCUGGCCCCAACGUCCCUCCGUUCUACGAGCAAUGUGCCCUGCCCACUGAUACUUCAAUGUCUGUUAUGGUAUGGCCAUUAAUAAAAUUUACUAAAUAUCUAGAUUAUCGUCCAGGUGUAAAACAAUAAUAAAUAUAUAAUUAAUUAUA